UUGCAAACUAGAUCACUGGCUCUGCAUAGUGUUGCAGCAGCAAGGGGAACACGUUUGCUAAAUGAAUCAGCAGUGGGAAAACCUUAGCCUUUAAGACUGAAUUCUUAAGGCUUUAUGACCCAAACUGCAACACCA
ensembl:snoRNA SNORA66 Small nucleolar RNA SNORA66